rnacentral:rRNA from 1 species
ACGACUACAGAGAGUUUGAUCAUGGCUCAGGAUGAACGCUGGCGGCGUGCUUAACACAUGCAAGUCGAACGAUGAUCCGGUGCUUGCACCGGGGAUUAGUGGCGAACGGGUGAGUAACACGUGAGUAACCUGCCCUUGACUCUGGGAUAAGCCUGGGAAACUGGGUCUAAUACCGGAUAUUACCUUCCAUCGCAUGGUGGUUGGUGGAAAGCUUUUGUGGUUUUGGAUGGACUCGCGGCCUAUCAGCUUGUUGGUGGGGUAAUGGCCUACCAAGGCGACGACGGGUAGCCGGCCUGAGAGGGUGACCGGCCACACUGGGACUGAGACACGGCCCAGACUCCUACGGGAGGCAGCAGUGGGGAAUAUUGCACAAUGGGCGCAAGCCUGAUGCAGCGACGCCGCGUGAGGGAUGACGGCCUCGGUUGUA